rnacentral:rRNA from 1 species
CCGGAGGAAGAGAAAGAAAAUUCGAUUCCCUUAGUAGCGGCGAGCGAAACGGGAAGAGCCCAAACCAACAAGCUUGCUUGUUGGGGUUGUAGGACACUCUAUACGGAGUUACAAAGGACGACAUUAGACGAAUCAUCUGGAAAGAUGAAUCAAAGAAGGUAAUAAUCCUGUAGUCGAAAAUGUUGUCUCUCUUGAGUGGAUCCUGAGUACGACGGAGCACGUGAAAUUCCGUCGGAAUCUGGGAGGACCAUCUCCUAAGGCUAAAUACUCUCUAGUGACCGAUAGUGAACCAGUACCGUGAGGGAAAGGUGAAAAGCACCCCGGAAGGGGAGUGAAAUAGAACCUGAAACCGUGUGCUUACAAGUAGUCAGAGCCCGUUAAUGGGUGAUGGCGUGCCUUUUGUAGAAUGAACCGGCGAGUUACGAUUUGAUGCAAGGUUAAGCAGUAAAUGUGGAGCCGUAGCGAAAGCGAGUCUGAAUAGGGCGUUUAGUAUUUGGUCGUAGACCCGAAACCAGGUGAUCUACCCUUGGUCAGGUUGAAGUUCAGGUAACACUGAAUGGAGGACCGAACCGACUUACGUUGAAAAGUGAGCGGAUGAACUGAGGGUAGCGGAGAAAUUCCAAUCGAACCUGGAGAUAGCUGGUUCUCUCCGAAAUAGCUUUAGGGCUAGCCUCAAGUGAUGAUUAUUGGAGGUAGAGCACUGUUUGGACGAGGGGCCCCUCUCGGGUUACCGAAUUCAGACAAACUCCGAAUGCCAAUUAAUUUAACUUGGGAGUCAGAACAUGGGUGAUAAGGUCCGUGUUCGAAAGGGAAACAGCCCAGACCACCAGCUAAGGUCCCAAAAUAUAUGUUAAGUGGAAAAGGAUGUGGCGUUGCCCAGACAACUAGGAUGUUGGCUUAGAAGCAGCCAUCAUUUAAAGAGUGCGUAAUAGCUCACUAGUCGAGUGACACUGCGCCGAAAAUGUACCGGGGCUAAACAUAUUACCGAAGCUGUGGAUUGUCCUUUGGACAAUGGUAGGAGAGCGUUCUAAGGGCGUUGAAGCAUGAUCGUAAGGACAUGUGGAGCGCUUAGAAGUGAGAAUGCCGGUGUGAGUAGCGAAAGACGGGUGAGAAUCCCGUCCACCGAUUGACUAAGGUUUCCAGAGGAAGGCUCGUCCGCUCUGGGUUAGUCGGGUCCUAAGCUGAGGCCGACAGGCGUAGGCGAUGGAUAACAGGUUGAUAUUCCUGUACCACCUAUAAUCGUUUUAAUCGAUGGGGGGACGCAGUAGGAUAGGCGAAGCGUGCGAUUGGAUUGCACGUCUAAGCAGUAAGGCUGAGUAUUAGGCAAAUCCGGUACUCGUUAAGGCUGAGCUGUGAUGGGGAGAAGACAUUGUGUCUUCGAGUCGUUGAUUUCACACUGCCGAGAAAAGCCUCUAGAUAGAAAAUAGGUGCCCGUACCGCAAACCGACACAGGUAGUCAAGAUGAGAAUUCUAAGGUGAGCGAGCGAACUCUCGUUAAGGAACUCGGCAAAAUGACCCCGUAACUUCGGGAGAAGGGGUGCUCUUUAGGGUUAACGCCCAGAAGAGCCGCAGUGAAUAGGCCCAAGCGACUGUUUAUCAAAAACACAGGUCUCUGCUAAACCGUAAGGUGAUGUAUAGGGGCUGACGCCUGCCCGGUGCUGGAAGGUUAAGAGGAGUGGUUAGCUUCUGCGAAGCUACGAAUCGAAGCCCCAGUAAACGGCGGCCGUAACUAUAACGGUCCUAAGGUAGCGAAAUUCCUUGUCGGGUAAGUUCCGACCCGCACGAAAGGCGUAACGAUUUGGGCACUGUCUCAACGAGAGACUCGGUGAAAUCAUAGUACCUGUGAAGAUGCAGGUUACCCGCGACAGGACGGAAAGACCCCGUGGAGCUUUACUGUAGCCUGAUAUUGAAAUUCGGCACAGCUUGUACAGGAUAGGUAGGAGCCUUUGAAACGUGAGCGCUAGCUUACGUGGAGGCGCUGGUGGGAUACUACCCUAGCUGUGUUGGCUUUCUAACCCGCACCACUUAUCGUGGUGGGAGACAGUGUCAGGCGGGCAGUUUGACUGGGGCGGUCGCCUCCUAAAA